rnacentral:rRNA from 1 species
CCUACGGGAGGCAGCAGUGAGGAAUAUUGGUCAAUGGGCGCAAGCCUGAACCAGCCAAGUCGCGUGAGGGAAGACGGUCCUAUGGAUUGUAAACCUCUUUUGUCGGGGAGCAAAAGACGCCACGCGUGGCGUUCCGAGAGUACCCGAAGAAAAAGCAUCGGCUAACUCCGUGCCAGCAGCCGCGGUAAUACGGAGGAUGCGAGCGUUAUCCGGAUUUAUUGGGUUUAAGGGGCUCGCAGGCGGAAGAUCAAGUCAGCGGUAAAAUUGAGAGGCUCAACCUCUUCGAGCCGUUGAAACAGUUUUGCUUGAGGGAGGGAGAAGUAUGCGGAAUGCGUGGUGUAGCGGUGAAAUGCAUAGAUAUCACGCAGAACUCCGAUUGCGAAGGCAGCAUACCGGCGCUCAACUGACGCUCAUGCACGAAAGUGUGGGUAUCGAACAGGAUUAGAUACCCUUGUAGUC